UCAGGAAUUUUGCGCAAUGGACGAAAGUCUGACGCAGCGACGCCGCGUGCAGGAUGACGGCCUUCGGGUUGUAAACUGCUGUGGUAGGGGAAUAUGAUGAAGGUACCCUACUAGAAAGCCACUGCUAACUACGUGCCAGCAGCCGCGGUAAUACGUAGGUGGCGAGCGUUAUCCGGAGUUACUGGGCGUAAAGAGUUGCGUAGGUGGUACGGUAAGUCUUUUGUGAAAUAUCCCGGCUCAACCGGGAAAACGCAGGGGAAACUGCCGAACUUGAAGCAGGGAGGGGAAAAUGGAACUCUCGGUGUAGGGGUGAAAUCCGUUGAUAUCGAGAGGAACACCAAAGGCGUAGGCAAUUUUCUGGCCCUUGCUUGACACUUAGGCACGAAAGCGUGGGGAGCGAAACGG
rnacentral:rRNA from 1 species